GGGGAAACUUACCAGGUCCAGACA
rnacentral:ncRNA from 2 species